GGACGAACGCUGGCGGUAUGCUUAACACAUGCAAGUCGAACGAGAAGGAAGAGCUUGCUCUUCCUGAAAGUGGCGAACGGGUGAGUAACGCGUGGGUAACCUACCCUUUGGAAAGGAAUAGCCUCGGGAAACUGGGAGUAAUGCCUUAUAAGAUACGUUUGUCGCAUGGCAUUUGUAUUAAACGCUCCGGCGCCAUAGGAUGGACCCGCGUCACAUUAGCUAGUUGGUGAGAUAACAGCUCACCAAGGCCACGAUGGGUAACCGGUCUGAGAGGGCGAACGGUCACACUGGAACUGAGACACGGUCCAGACUCCUACGGGAGGCAGCAGUGGGGAAUAUUGCGCAAUGGGGGCAACCCUGACGCAGCAAUACCGCGUGAGUGAAGAAGGUUUUCGGAUCGUAAAGCUCUGUUAUUGGGGAAGAAAAAAAGACGGUACCCAAGAAGAAAGUUCCGGCUAACUACGUGCCAGCAGCCGCGGUAAUACGUAGGGAACAAGCGUUGUCCGGAUUUACUGGGCGUAAAGGGCACGCAGGCGGUUUUUUAAGUCAGAUGUGAAAGGCCACAGCUCAACUGUGGACAUGCAUUUGAAACUGAAAGACUUGAGUAUUGGAGAGGCAAGUGGAAUUCUUAGUGUAGCGGUGAAAUGCGUAGAUAUUAGGAGGAACACCGGUGGCGAAGGCGGCUUGCUGGACAAAUACUGACGCUGAGGACGAACGCUGGCGGUAUGCUUAACACAUGCAAGUCGAACGAGAAGGAAGAGCUUGCUCUUCCUGAAAGUGGCGAACGGGUGAGUAACGCGUGGGUAACCUACCCUUUGGAAAGGAAUAGCCUCGGGAAACUGGGAGUAAUGCCUUAUAAGAUACGUUUGUCGCAUGGCAUUUGUAUUAAACGCUCCGGCGCCAUAGGAUGGACCCGCGUCACAUUAGCUAGUUGGUGAGAUAACAGCUCACCAAGGCCACGAUGGGUAACCGGUCUGAGAGGGCGAACGGUCACACUGGAACUGAGACACGGUCCAGACUCCUACGGGAGGCAGCAGUGGGGAAUAUUGCGCAAUGGGGGCAACCCUGACGCAGCAAUACCGCGUGAGUGAAGAAGGUUUUCGGAUCGUAAAGCUCUGUUAUUGGGGAAGAAAAAAAGACGGUACCCAAGAAGAAAGUUCCGGCUAACUACGUGCCAGCAGCCGCGGUAAUACGUAGGGAACAAGCGUUGUCCGGAUUUACUGGGCGUAAAGGGCACGCAGGCGGUUUUUUAAGUCAGAUGUGAAAGGCCACAGCUCAACUGUGGACAUGCAUUUGAAACUGAAAGACUUGAGUAUUGGAGAGGCAAGUGGAAUUCUUAGUGUAGCGGUGAAAUGCGUAGAUAUUAGGAGGAACACCGGUGGCGAAGGCGGCUUGCUGGACAAAUACUGACGCUGA
rnacentral:rRNA from 1 species